UACGUAGGUGGCAAGCGUUGUCCGGAAUUACUGGGUGUAAAGGGAGCGUAGGCGGGAACGCAAGUUGAAUGUGAAAUUUACGGGCUCAACUCGUAAACUGCGUUCAAAACUGUGUUUCUUGAGUUAAGUAGAGGCAGGCGGAAUUCCCUGUGUAGCGGUGAAAUGCGCAGAUAUAGGGAGGAACAACCAGUGGCGAAGGCGGCCUGCUGGGCUUUACUGACGCUGAGGCUCGAA
rnacentral:rRNA from 1 species